rnacentral:rRNA from 1 species
GGUGAACGCUGGCGGUAGGCCUAACACAUGCAAGUCGAACGCCAGCUCAGUAAGCGUUUGCUCUGAGGGGUGGCGACUGGCGGGCGGGUGAGGCAUACAUCGGAAUCUACUUUUUCGUGGGGGAUAACGUCGGGCAACUUCCGCUAAUAACGCAUACGACCCACGGGUGAAAGCAGUGGAGCUUCGGACCUUGCGCGAUUGGAUGAGCCGAUGUCGGAUCAGCUAGUUGGCGGGGUAAAGGCCCACCAAGGCGACGAUCCGUAGCUGGUCUGAGAGGAUGAUCAGCCACACUAGAACUGAGACACCGUCCAGACUCCGACGAGAGGCAGCAGUGUGGUAUAUUGGACAAUGGGCGCAAUCCUGAUCCAGCCAUACCGCGUGUGUGAAGGAGGCGUUGGGUUUGGUAAGCCGUUUUGUUGGGAGAGAAAAGCAGCAAGUUCAUACGCCGCUGUUCUGACGGUACCCAAAGAAUAAGCACCGGCUAACUACGUG